rnacentral:rRNA from 1 species
UACGUAGGGGGGCAAGCGUUGUCCGGAAUUAUUGGGCGUAAAGAGCGUGUAGGCGGUCCGGUAAGUCGGCUGUGAAAGUCCAAGGCUCAACCUUGGGAUGCCGGUCGAUACUGCCGGACUAGAGUUCGGAAGAGGCGAGUGGAAUUCCUGGUGUAGCGGUGAAAUGCGCAGAUAUCAGGAGGAACACCAAUUGCGAAGGCAGCUCGCUGGGACGUUACUGACGCUGAGACGCGAAAGCGUGGGGAGCAAACAGG